GAUGAACGCUGGCGGCGUGCCUAAUACAUGCAAGUCGAGCGAACAGACGAGGAGCUUGCUCCUCUGACCUUAGCGGCGGACGGGUGAGUAACACGUGGAUAACCUACCUAUAAGACUGGGAUAACUUCGGGAAACCGGAGCUAAUACCGGAUAAUAUAUUGAACAGCAUGGUUCAAUAGUGAAAGACGGUUUUGCUGUCACUUAUAGAUGGAUCCGCGCCGCAUUAGCUAGUUGGUAAGGUAACGGCUUACCAAGGCAACGAUGCGUAGCCGACCUGAGAGGGUGAUCGGCCACACUGGAACUGAGACACGGUCCAGACUCCUACGGGAGGCAGCAGUAGGGAAUCUUCCGCAAUGGGCGAAAGCCUGACGGAGCAACGCCGCGUGAGUGAUGAAGGUCUUCGGAUCGUAAAACUCUGUUAUUAGGGAAGAACAAAUGUGUAAGUAACUAUGCACGUCUUGACGGUACCUAAUCAGAAAGCCACGGCUAACUACGUG
rnacentral:rRNA from 1 species